GGGUUGGUAGUCCCGUAAAUGGAAGCGGGCCGGAUUGUAAACCCGGUGCCUCUUGGCCUUGGGGGUUCGAUUCCCUCCCGACCCACCA
rnacentral:tRNA from 1 species